AUCUUAUAUCAUUGGCUCAAUUGGGAGACAGCUAAGCUGAUGCGUGAAACAGGCUUUCCAUAGAAUCCAUGUUAUUGCAGUUACCCAAUCAGGAUCCUGUCUCCUAUAAAAGAAACAGAAAUUGCUGUGUUUAGCAUCUCAUCUUGAGGUGUGUUUGCUGGUUUCUGUUGUGAAAAAGCUGCAUUUCAUACCAGAUAAGAUCGUCAUGAUCCCAACUUUUCAAGCUCAUAACCUGAGGAGCUAGCUGCUGAGACUACAGAGUUUAUACAAAUGCAUCUGGCUUUUUUAUUUUGGAGUAAUCACUUUGUUCCUGGAACUCUCUGCAGUGGCUUUCUUUGCUGAUCAGAUACCUUUUCGUCUAGCAAUGAUGAUGGCUAUUUCUGGAACUGUUUCUAUUGUCAUUCCUGCAAUCUUUGCCUUGUCUGAAGCUUGUCAAAACCCAGAAAAUUCACCUUUAAGCCUAGAAGAAUUAUCAAACCUUAGAAACCCCCAGAAGCUUAGAAAUAGCAAUUUUGAAAUGGGAGCACCAACCACAAGCACCUGAUUUAUAGUGCUUUUUAUUUAUUUUUAUUUAUAUUUAUAUUUAUUUAUUUAUUUAUAUUUAUUUAUAUUAUAUUUAUUUUUAUUUAUAUGUUAAACCCCAAAUACCUUUGUGCCUUUGGACAGUUUAAAAAAUCCCUUGAGCAUUGUUUUAAAAAGAAAUAAACUCUGGCUUUUAAAAAGCUUACUAUCUGAUUUUUGGAAUGUUCUUGCCUCUAUGAAAUCUUUCUGCAGAAAUCCUUGUUCUUUCGAAUUCACGUCAAAUGAAGGAACCAGGUUUCGCCUCCCUGUUGCCAUGACUACCAACCUUCUUGCUCCCUUCCACCCAUCACUAAGAUCCGGUUGCUGCUUCUCACUCUCUCUUCACAUCAAUUCCUGUGGACUUUAACAUGCACAGAGCAGACCCUUCCAGGCCCACAGGUGCCUAGCUCACAGCCCUCCUCAAGACCCUGCAUCCUCUAAAC
ensembl:lncRNA